UGAUGGUAAAUACCGAGUGUCGACUGGAUUGAAGGAUGCAAAGUAUUGAUCCUGGGUGUGUCUGUGAGGGUGUUGCCAAAGGAGGUUAACAUUUGAGUCAGUGGGCUGGGGAAGGCAGAUCCAACCUCAAUCUGGUGCGCCAUCUAAUAAGCUGCCAAUGAAUAUAAAGCAGGCAGAAAAACAUAAGAAGGUGAGACUGGCCUAGCCUCCCAGCCUGCAUCUUUCUCCCAUGCUGAAUGCUUCCUGUCCUCGAACAUCAGACUCCAAGUUCUUUAGUUUUGAGACUCGGACUGGCUUCCUUGCUCCUCAAGCUUGCAGACAGCCUAUUGUGGGACCUUGUGAUCAUAGAUCCUUGAUUAAUACAGAUGGGGUCCCACUAUGCUGCCCAGGCUGCUUUCAAACAGGGUCUUAACUCUGUCACCCAGGCUGGAGUGCAGUGGUGUGACCACAGCCACUGCAGGCUCAACCUCUGGGACUCAGGUGAUCCUCCCAUCUCAGCCUCCCAAGUAGCUGGGACUACAGGUUGCUUCUUCCAGAUCCCUUUUGAUCUACUUUCAGCUAUGGAUUCAUGAGAAUCAAGACUAAGCAGCCUGAAUUGAAGGAGUAACAGUAUCACCUAACAAUGAUUUUGCUGCCAUAGUAGCUGUUUGUAUACUGGCCAUAUGCCUAGGUAAAAUGAGGCCAGAUCACUCUCAAGAGUUUUCUAUCAGAGUUGGUGGUGAACUACUGCUCACGGAUAAUG
rnacentral:lncRNA from 1 species